CACGGAGUUAGCCGGGGCUUCUUUACCGGGUACCGUCAUUAUCUUCCCCGGCGAAAGGGCUUUACGACCCUAAGGCCUUCAUCACCCACGCGGCAUGGCUGGAUCGGGGUUGCCCCCAUUGUCCAAGAUUCCCCACUGCUGCCUCCCGUAGGAGUCUGGGCCGUGUCUCAGUCCCAGUGUUGCUGAUCAUCCUCUCAAACCAGCUACCGAUCGUCGGCUUGGUGAGCCGUUACCCCACCAACUACCUAAUCAGACGCGGGCCGAUCCCUUGCCAGCCUACCUUGCGGUAAACCUUUCCCCCUCAGGGCACAUCCGGUAUUACCCCCAGUUUCCCAGGGCUAUUCCGGAGCAAAAGGCACGUUCCACGCGUUACUAACCCGUCCGCCGCUCCCCCUUGCGGGGGCGCUCGACUUGCAUGUGUUAAGCCUGCCGCCAGCGUUCGUUCUGAGCAGGAUCAAACUCU
rnacentral:rRNA from 1 species